GACGAACGCUGGCGGCGCGCCUCAUACAUGCAAGUCGAACGAGAAGCUCGGAGCUUGCUCCGGGUGGAGAGUGGCGAACGGGUGAGUAACACGUGAGAAACCUGCCCCGAAGACCGGGAUAACACCGGGAAACCGGUGCUAAUACCGGAUGUCCUUGCCGGACCGCAUGAUCUGAUAAGGAAAUGGAUUCCGCUUCGGGAUGGUCUCGCGGCCUAUCAGCUUGUUGGCGGGGAACGGCCCACCAAGGCUACGACGGGUAGCUGGUCUGAGAGGAUGUCCAGCCACACUGGGACUGAGACACGGCCCAGACUCCUACGGGAGGCAGCAGUAGGGAAUCUUGCACAAUGGACGAAAGUCUGAUGCAGCGACGCCGCGUGUGGGAUGAAUGCCUUCGGGUUGUAAACC
rnacentral:rRNA from 1 species